CCUACGGGAGGCAGCAGUGAGGAAUAUUGGUCAAUGGGCGAGAGCCUGAACCAGCCAAGUCGCGUGAGGGAAGACGGUCCUAUGGAUUGUAAACCUCUUUUGCCGGGGAGCAAAACGCGGUACGCGUACCGCAUCGAGAGUACCCGGAGAAAAAGCAUCGGCUAACUCCGUGCCAGCAGCCGCGGUAAUACGGAGGAUGCGAGCGUUAUCCGGAUUUAUUGGGUUUAAAGGGUUCGCAGGCGGCGAGUUAAGUCAGCGGUAAAAUUUCGGGGCUCAACCCCGGCGAGCCGUUGAAACUGGCGUGCUAGAGUGGGCGAGAAGUAUGCGGAAUGCGUGGUGUAGCGGUGAAAUGCAUAGAUAUCACGCAGAACUCCGAUUGCGAAGGCAGCAUACCGGCGCCCAACUGACGCUCAGGCACGAAAGCGUGGGUAUCGAACAGGAUUAGAUACCCGUGUAGUC
rnacentral:rRNA from 1 species